rnacentral:misc_RNA from 1 species
UCAAAAAGGAAGCAAAGACAACAUCACGGUCAUUGUGGUGGAUCUGAAAGCUCAAAGGAAGCUCAAGAGCAAAACAUGACAGUUCCUUUAUAUUUCCUUAAAGCAGCUCUUCAAUUUGUUAAAUUUCAUGUGGUACGAUAAAAUUUUCGCCCAUCCGCUUUUCAUAUGGGCGUUAUGACUACCUGGAUGUGCUAUAGAACGCGCGCCAUCGUAGAACUCAUUCAUUGAUUUGAAUGAUUCACGCCAUCCUUAUGUAAAUGUUUUAGCUAUUUGUUUUAGGGAUUAG